AACACACGUAGCAUCUUGAUGCUAUGCCUAAGCCAUUUUUGUCUUCUAUCCACUGCAUUUUUCCUACAAUUAUUGCUCCUACCACACCAAUCGCCACCAGCCCAGAAUCUCUCCCACUGAGCUUCCAACACGGAAAAAAACAAUCCAGAAACAAGAAAACAGAAAGAACUAUACUUUUCCUUCGCUUUCAUGGAGCACCCACCUAGUUCUAUAAUUUUCAUUUCGCCUGAACCCCCACCCUUCCCUGCA
rnacentral:misc_RNA from 1 species